UUCAUAAAAUCUGACCAUCCCAGCUUACUUGCCUAGAUUAUUAGUCAAUGAAAAGCCAUACAACAUUUAAGAUGACUUCUUGUUUACCUUCACAAAAAUUUGGACUAAUUUCAUCCAGCAAGGUAAAAGGCAUCAUCUGCUAAUUGCACAGGCAAAGGAAUAGCUAUUUGGGGUGUAUGAUUAAGCUGUAGUAAAUAAAAAAUUAUUAAUAUAGCUUGUCACUGUCUUCAGGUGCUGUCCUGUACUCAGAGACUUGUCAGCAAGCCCCCUCAAAUGUAAUCUGUUCAUUAAUUAGACAACGUGUGCCAUGGAUGCACAAUUUGUAUGAGCAGGUGGAUUGCUGAGGACAUCAUCCUGUCAACACCAGCCUGUCCACCCCCUCCCAGUAAUAUAAUUUCCCAUCUCAGUCUUCCUCAUUCACAAUAUCAUCACAUCCUUAAGUCCCACGCCUCUUUAUCACAUUCCCACAAAGGAAACGGUCUUAAUCAGGUGUUACAACCUGGAACUCCCAAGGCAGCUGCUCCAAAUGAGCGUCAGCAGGGAGGACCAGCCUUUGGGGACUGGUGAAGGUGCAAGCCACUGGUGCCAGCCCACAGCCCUGCGCAGAGUGUCCGUCAGCCAACAGAGGUACUGGGCUGCCCUGGUGGUAACCUUUCUUAUGGCAUUAAGGACUUCAGUGCCACUCACCCCAUUUCAAUAGUCGAUCCAAGGAAUGACGGAAUGCAGUAAUCAGCAGCUGCUUUUGUGUAGGGUGGCCGGGCAGAAGAGUCAUUCCAGUAAAUAUCUUUCUCCAUCCUUGGCCAGCAGUGGAAGGUGAAGAAUGAGGUGCUGAGAAGACCAACACUAUGAAAACCUCACUGAAGGCAGGAGGAAUGAAAAGCAGACAGGGGACGCCUCUGCUCAAACCCAUUGGUGUGCCCUGGGGCACUGGAUUUCAGGUAUAACAGAUCAGGCCUGAAGCCAAGGAAUGAGCUCAGUUUCGCCAUCAUUUCUGAGGAACUGCCAAGUUACUGGAAGUCAAUAGUGCUGGGCCCUUUACACAAUCUGGCAGCCGAAGCCCAACGCACUCAGCAGGAAAUGGGCUUUAACCUUCAGAACAGAAAUAUCCCGACUCUGUGGCUCUGCAGGUCUGAGGGAGCAUUGCUGAUUUUAAAUCUGCUUUUUAAAAGUUAGUCUACCUUGAUACUCACUGCAGAGGAGAGAACCAGUGUGAGGUGUGUGCUUUAAUUACUCAUCUAUCAGAUUGAUGACGGGAUGUUAGCUGACGAGGCAUCAAUGGGACGAUGGGUAGCAUCCAAGUCCUUCCAUAACUCUUUUUUAAUGAAUGUUUUUAUGCAGUGGGAUUGUAGCCAAUAUUAGCUGCCAUGUUUGAUAGCCAUCUGAAACUGGAGACCUUUAAUUGCCUGCAUCUGAUUAGUUAACAGUAGACACUAAAGGCAGGCUUUGAUCCUAAGAAGCAAGUACGAUUUAGUCCCGUUCAGCUCAUGCCAGGUCUGCAACAACAGUAUUUCCCCACUGCACAGCAGAGGGGGAGAAAACUUUUUUUUUUUCUUUAUUUUAUAGUCCAAGUCCCUGGGACUGGAUUUUGCUGGAUUAAUGCUUCCUUGGGGAGCUGUCACUGCUCUAUUAAUAAAAUGGGCUCUAUCAGGUUCCCAACAAUUCCUUACAGUAAGAUCUGUUGAGUGGAAUUAAAAAUGUAUUGGAUGACUUUUUCUUUAUGACCACAGGACACUCUGGGCUGAAUCCUGCUUUGGUAUAACUCCAUUAAUCCUUGGUGAUUUUAUAGUGUGCCGUGAAUCUGACACCUUGACUUUGGCUCUGACACCUUCACCAGCUCACCCAGGGUGGGUUCCCCCAUCACCUUCCCAGAAAACUAGUUUACCUUGAGCCAUCCUGCGUAGAAGAAGAACUGUAACAGUGUGAAGAUUGGAAUGUAAAGAUCUAAGUCAUGUCCCUGAUACCCUUGGUCAGUAUCCAAAAAUUGGCGCCCUAUCAGGCAGGCAAAGAAAAAAGUAUAGACUGCAAGAGUAACAACCUGCAAAGAACAAAACUUAAUUGGAAACAUGUCAUAAUACAGUCUUAUGCAUAAGGCAUCACAUAUCCAAAGGCCUCUGACUGCCUUUUGUAAUACUAUUUACAAAUCUGUAGAAAAUGUUACAAAUAAAGAGGCCACAUGAGUAAUUAUAGCUAGGAAGUAGACCCAGGAAACAAAAAUUUUGGUGCUUCCCCGCUCUCCAGAUUAUGCAAGGACUUCAAAACAUCUCUACAUUAAACACAACUUAAAUAUUUAACCAGGCGUCCAUAAUCCAGUGGGACUCAGGGAGUGCCCAACAGCCUGGAGCUGCCAGUUAAGUCUAUGGACAUUUGGCACAAAUCUCCCCUUUUAUGGAAACCGUGUUUCAAAUUUUGUGAAAGACAACAUCUCAGUACCUGGGUAUAGACCAGUGGAAUUCCAACCCAGUCAUAGCCAAACAAAAGGCUACACCAAGACCGGUACUUAUUCAUCUCCUGAAUGGGAAGGGAAAAAAAAAAAAAAAAAAGGAAAAAAUGGAAACAAACCCCAAUGAACUUAAAUGGCAUCAAUUCUGAAUGAUAAACAUUUCGUUACAGUUCAUUUUUAUACAUGCAAAAGGACAGGGAGACAAGAAAGUGUAGUAUAAAUGGAUUAAAUUAUUAUAUCCAGCAACCCAUUGCCAUGCUUGAAUAUUCACUUAAUUUAUGGAGUUUAAAUGGU